rnacentral:snRNA from 1 species
ACCAGUUCGGUGAUCAACAUGAG